GAGGAAGUAAAAGUCGUAACAAGGUUUCCGUAGGUGAACCUGCGGAAGGAUCAUUAUCGAGUUUUGAAAGCGAGACUUGCUGCUGGCGCGAAUCAUAUUUUGCGCAUGUGCACGGCCUUCGCGCUCAAAUCCAACUCAAACCCCUGUGCACCUUAUCAUAUCGCGAGUCGAAGUUAGUAGUCUGAGGUCUGUCUUGUAAGUAAUGAGUAGAAGGGCGAAAGCGAGYCUUGCUCGUUAGGUAACCCUUCGAAAAUGAAAGCGAGCGCGUCGGGUGAAGACUUCGGCUUGUUGUUACAAAAACACCUURUAUUGUCUUUGUGAAUGGUAAUGCUCCUCGUGGGCGAAAAUAAACACAACUUUCAACAACGGAUCUCUUGGCUCUCGCAUCGAUGAAGAACGCAGCGAAAUGCGAUAAGUAAUGUGAAUUGCAGAAUUCAGUGAAUCAUCGAAUCUUUGAACGCACCUUGCGCCCCUUGGUAUUCCGAGGGGCAUGCCUGUUUGAGUGUCAUGUUUAUCUCAAACCGCUCGUCUUUCUUAAUUGAAGGGCUCGAGGUUUGGACUUGGAGGAUUACUGCCGGCCGCCUUUCGAGGGGGUCGGCUCCUCUSAAAUACAUUAGCUGGGCUUUGGCUCGCGUUUACGGUGUAAUAGUUGAUUCCGUUCACCGACGAGCGCUUGCCUAACGAGCCUGCUCCUAACCGUCCGCGUCGUCGGACAAGGAGUCGUCACCUCCUUCUUCUUGACACCUUUGACCUC
rnacentral:rRNA from 1 species